ACAUACAAUCAGGCCGCUUUGAGAGUGACCUACUGCUCGUUUUGAGGGGCUGUAAAUGCUCCUUGGAAAGCAAUAACCUGUUUUGUGUCUGUUAAGCUCCAGCAGAUGAAGGCUUGGAGGCUUUCCUCUCUCUGUGUAUCGGGUUUUCGUUAAAGCACCUGGGUCUACAGAAGGUUAAAGUGCUUUUUGCUCAACACCUGUGAUUACGGUCUGUGAUAUUCAGAUGAGUUCUGUAAAGUUUCUUCCCAUACGAUUAGUUACAGCCACCAGAAACCCCAAGCCAGUCCCUUCUAUCCAUGUUCAAGAAGUGAAAGAAAUAAAAAACAGCACAGGUGCAACAACACAAAAAGCCACCUCACUCAGAGGAGAUUUCCACUCUAUCAAACAGGGAUGAGACCAAAGUUAAAAUGACAGUUGGUUUUCAAUCAUUUUUUCUUCUGUAUUAACCCAAUAUAUCAUUGCCCGGGGCACUUCAGCUGAGGCAAUGUAAAUUUUCUUUUCAAACUGAACUAGGAGACACUAGAAAACAAAGUAAGAACAUGCGGAACACUUACCUGAAGUUAUUUACUUGCCUCCUUAGGACUGAAUUUCAAUUCCAAAUACCUAAAUCUGCAGAAACAAAUCCUCUGCCAUUUCUGGCGGGGGAGAAAGAAACAUAGCAAAUCACUCAAACGUUGGUUGGAGUUGUGUGUUUGAGCAAGAGGAAGUGCAGCAAAAAGUAGAGGAAGAGGAGUGAUCGAAACGCAGAAGUUUAUAUGCCUAACCCAGGCUUGCAGUGAAUUAAGAAACUAUGGAAAAGGUAAUGGGGAAGAUCCACAGUGGAGGAAGAUGGCUGGGAUCGAAUUGAAUAUCUUUAGAUCAUUAAAGAAGGAUCCGAGCAGAUUGCGCUUGGUAUUUAAUGGAGACUGCAGUUCUAACAUCGUUUCCAACACACUGAAAGAGAAUUGGGAAUAUUUUUGGAUCACAGUUGAGCGGAACCCCGUUAGCGUUGAUAUUGGGAAAUGGGCACAGACCCUCCUGGAGGAGGCUGAAAGAAUUAGGAAGAAGAAGCAGCGAGGCCUAGAGGAAAGAGCUUGGGGAAGAAAGUCGGAGGUCUCGUCUUACGCCGUCGAGUCGCGUCUGAUCCGUAGCGACACCGAGGCCACGUCUCUCCCGGGACGCCCCACCUCCAUCUGCAAUCGUCCUGGUAAUAAUGUUGACGUUUGUGAAGCGCUUCCUAUGUGCCGAGCACUGUUCUGAGCGCUGGGGGAGAUACGGGGUGAUCAGGUCGUCCCACGUGAGGCUCACAGUUAAUCCCCAUUUUACAGAUGAGGUCACUGAGGCCCAGAGAAUAAUAAUAAUAAUGUUGGUAUUUGUUAAGCGCUUACUAUGCGCAGAGCACUGUUCUAAGAGCUGGGGGAGAUACAGGGUCAUCAGGUUGGCCCACAUGAGGCUCACAGUUAAUCCCCAUUGUACAGAUGAGGAAACUGAGAAACAGAGAAGUGACCACAGUCCCACAGCUGACAAGUGGCAGAGCCGGGAUCGGAACCCAUGACCUCUGACUCCCAAGCCCGGGCUCUUGCCACUGAGCCACGCUGAAAUACAGAAGUGGUUUACCACUGCCUCCUUCUUCGGCGCGGUAAACCCGAGUCUCCGCCCUCGAUUCUCUCCCGUGCCGCUGCUGUCCAGCGCAGGGGAAUUUCGACUCGAGCCGAUGGCCUUCCGCUCGCUAGCCGCUGGCCAAGCUGGGAAUGGGAUGGGUAGGCCUCUGCUUGACUCUCCCUCCCAUAGCCGAGACUGGUAGAGGACUGGAAACGCUCCGGUUGCCACCCUGAGAGGGAAAGAGUCAGAGGACCUGGGUUCUAAUUCUGCCUCUGCCUCUAGUCUGCCGGGUGACCUUGGGCGAUCCACUCCCAUUGCUCUGCUGCAGCUACUUCACGAGGGACAGGGACUGUGGAAAAAUAACUACGUGACUAAUGUCGCAUCUGCCGAUACUUGCCCAAGUUUCAAAAUUUUCAACACGAGGAACUUGGUAGCUAAGAAGCUUCCACAUUCCACGGUGAGAACGCAGCAAGGCGUAGGAGGGUCUGGUGUCCUUAUUCCUUUUCUGAGCGUGUAAUUGCAUUUUCGACGUAAUUAGUCACCUAAUUGCGCACCCAAAUUUAGACGGCGUAUUUGCACAUGAAAAUCAUGAUGUUCUUGAUACCUGAAACCUCCUCGGUAAAGUUGUGCCCCCCUUGGCUUUUUUGAUAAGGUUGCUUGGCAUUUCGAGUUGACAUUUAGUGAAUGUGGUCCCAGCCCAGAGGAGAAGUUGUUCAAAACGAGAUACGAUCACCACACUCUCAGCCCCACGACAUUUAGGGUCCUAUCUUUAUUCUCUCCCACUUCCCCUAUCUGUAAUUUAUUUUAAUAACCGUCUCCUCCUCCAGACUGUAUAUUUCUUGUGGGCAGGGACUGUCCAAACUCCCAAGCAAUCAGUUCGGUACUUCGCACUGUAGGUGCUCAAUAAGUACCACGAUGAAUUGGUUCUCCCUCAAGGGUGGGACAUAUGAAUGGCAAUAGGAGUGACCUAUUUUUUUUUUUUAUCGUAUUUGUUAAGCUCUUAUUAUGUUCCAGGUGCUGUGAUGUCUUUCCCAUUUUAUAGAUAAAAACAUGAGAAAUGCAAUAAGUGCUUGAUAAAUGCACAAUUAAGAAAUGUAAUUGCUGAGUCAAUCUAAUAAUUCCUCCAGACCAAUAGUCUAUUCUUGACUAGAAACUAUGGGACGGUUGCUUUCGAAGUUAACGUUUACGGACACGCCAUUUAAACACCCUUAAAUUUUCCUUUUGAUUUGCCUAGGCUGUGUAACCUUGGGCAAAUUUUUUUUUAAUGGUACCUGUUUGGCGCUUACUAUGUGCCAAGCACUGUUCUAAAUGCUGGGGUAGAAACAAGGUAAUCAGGUGGGACUCACGGUCUUCAUCCCCAUUUUCCAGAUGCGGGAACCGAGGCACGGAGAAGUGAAGUGACUUGCCCGAAGUCACACAGCAGACAAGUGGCGGAGCCGGGAUUAGAGGCCAUGUCACUUCACUUCUCUGGCCUCAGUUCCCUCAUCUACAAAAUGGGGAUUCAACACCCUUUCUCCCCCCUAUUGACACCACCAUUCAUUCAUUCAUUCAUUCAAUAGUAUUUAUUGAGCACUUACUAUGUGCAGAGCACUGCACUAAGCGCUUGGAAUGUACAAAUCGGUAACAGAUAGAGACAGUCCCUGCCCUCUGACGGGCUUCCAGUCUAAUCGGGGGGCUUACAAGAUCCAUGUGGGACCUGAUUAUCGCGUAUCCACCCUAGCGCUCACUACAGUGCUCAACGAAUACCGAAAGAAGAAAAGAAACUUCACGAUUUCAUAGACUCCAAUCACAUCCUUUCUCAGUCUUCUUUUUGCAAGACUGAAGAAUCCUAAUCAUCCUAAUGAAGCUACUCAAGUCCCUUUUUAUGGUUCUUUUCCAGCUCUGGUACUGACUGGAACCGGACCCUGCAUUCAAGGUGGGGCCUGUCCACGUUGAGUGGCUUUUUGAGAAAUGAGUAAGUGGGAAGGGAGGUAGUUGUCACCAUUAUCUAGCAAAGAGACAACAGUAUCUGUAAACUAGGAGUCUGGAUGUGUGAUUUAAUAAUAAUAAUAAUAAUGUCGGUAUUUGUUUACCGCUUACUAUGUGCAGAGCACCGUUCUAAGUGCUGGGGGAGAUACAGGGUCAUCAGGUCGUCCCACGUGAGGCUCACGGUUAAUCCCCAUUUUACAGAUGAGGGAACUGAGGGACAGAGAAGUGAAGUGACUUGCCCACAGUCACACAGCUGCCAGGUGGCAGAGCCGGGAGUCGAACCCAUGACCUCUGACUCCAAAGCCCAGGCUCUUUCUGCUAAUUAUUCCCUCGGUCAUUUCCCCUUUUUUGUGCUCUUGGACAAUCGCUUCCCCAUCCCAGUUUCCAUCAGUAUCUCCCAAACACUUAGAACGUUGCAUAAUAAUGAUAAUGUCGGUAUUUGUUAGGCGCUUACUAUGUGCCGAGCACUGUUCUAAGCGCUAGGGGAGAUACAGGGUCAUCAGGUUGUCCCAUGUGAGGCUCACAGUCUCCAUCCCCAUUUUAAUAAUAAUAAUGGCGGUAUUUGUUAAGCGCUUACUAUGUGCAAAGCACUGUUCUAAGCGCUGGGCAGAUACAAGGUGAUCAGGUUGUCCCCCGUGGGGCUCACAGCCUUCAUCCCCGUUUUACAGAGGAGGCAACUGAGGCUCAGAGAAGUGAAGUGACUUGCCCAAAGUCACACAGCUGACUAGUGGUGGAGUCGGGAUUCGAACCCAUGGCCUCUGACUCCCGAGGCUAUUCUCUUUCCACUGAGCCACGCUGCUUCUCAAUAAUGGGAUUUGUCAAGUGCUUACUAUGUGCCAAGCACUGUUCCGAGCGCUGGGGUAGAUACAAGGUAAUCAGGUUGUCCCACGUGGGGCUCACAGUCUUAGUCCCCAUUUUACAGAUGAGGUAACUGAGGCCCAGAGAAGUGACGUGACUUGCCCGAAGUCACACAGCUGAAAAAUGGCAGAGAUUCAACCCAUGAUCUCUGACUCCCAAGGCCAGGCUCUUUCCACGAAGUCACGCAGCUUCUCUUUUACAGAUGAGGUAACUGAGGCCCAGAGAAGUGAAGUGACUUGCCCACAGUCCCCCAGCUGACAAGUGGCAGAGCCGGGAUUCGAACCCAUGACCCCUGACUCCCAAGCCCGGGCUCUUUAGAGGCUCUCGAAUAAAAAAUAUUAAUAAAAAUGAUGGUAUUUGUUAAGCGCUUAUUAGGUGCCAAGCACUGUUCUAAGCCCUGGGGUAGAUACAAGGUAAUGAGAUUGUCCCAUGUGAGGUUCCCCAUCUUAAUCCCCGUUUUACAGAGGAGGGAACUGAGGCCGAGAGAAGUGAGAUGACAUGUCCGGGGUCACACAGCAGACACGUGGCGGACCUGGGAUUCGAACCCACGACCUCUGACUCCCAAACCCAGGUUCUUUCCACUAAACCAGGCUGCUUCUCAUUACUACUAUCACUAUUCUGUUCUAUUCCAAGUCACCCCACCCAUGUACUUGACUUUCCACACUCUUCCCACUCUUUGGGCCAGUCACUUCACUUCUCUGGGCCUCUGUUACCCCAUCUGCAAAAUGGGGAUGAAGACUGUGAGCCUCAGGUGCGACAACCUGAUCACCUCCUAUCCUCCCCAGCGCUUAGAACAGUGCUUUGCACGUGAUAAGCGCUUAACAAAUGCCAUCAUUAUUAAUACGGAUGAAUUCAUUAUAAUUAACGCUGAGAAUCAGUUGGAGUGGAGGCCUUGGGGUAAUUGAUCUCGAGGGCGUUGCGAGGUCCGGAGUCAC
rnacentral:lncRNA from 1 species